rnacentral:lncRNA from 1 species
GGUCAGUUGAAGUAUGCCUCUGGGUGCGGGAGUUUCUCGCUGUAUUGAAGACCCAUUGGUGGCCUUCGGCUGUUCUUUGCUCUUUGGUCGGGUUGUUGUCUCUUUGACACAUUCCUCAUUUCGAUUUACAAUUUUAUUAAGUUUGGUAUUUUUUCCUGUCUGGUAUGAAAUGUCAAAAUUUUAAUGUUACAUGGAUUGAGAGUUGUCUCAUUGGCACUCGAUACCACAUCUUCUAAUAUCUAUGAACAAUAUCUAAAGUUUAUUUUAUAAAUGUAAUCCCUCAUUUAAAGUACAUUCAAUGCAUUGCAUGGGUACAUAACAGUCUUGAACUGGCUUGUGAAUCCGUGUCACCAAACUUUGAAAAUGGUUGAUGUUUUGCAAAAACAAUAACUUUAAAACUUAAAGUGUU